rnacentral:rRNA from 1 species
UGGGGAAUCUUGCGCAAUGCGCGAAAGCGUGACGCAGCAACGCCGCGUGGGGGAAGAAGGCCUUCGGGUUGUAAACCCCUUUCAGGAGGGACGAAGCCUGGCUGGUGAAUAGCCAGUCCAGGUGACGGUACCUCCACAAGAAGCCCCGGCUAACUACGUGCCAGCAGCCGCGGUAAUACGUAGGGGGCAAGCGUUGUCCGGAAUCAUUGGGCGUAAAGAGCGCGUAGGCGGCCCAGUCAGUCCGCUGUGAAAGUCAGAGGCUCAACCUCUGGAUGCCGGUGGAUACUGCUGGGCUAGAGUCCGGAAGAGGCGAGUGGAAUUCCUGGUGUAGCGGUGAAAUGCGCAGAUAUCAGGAGGAACACCGAUGGCGAAGGCAGCUCGCUGGGACGGUACUGACGCUGAGGCGCGAAAGC